rnacentral:lncRNA from 1 species
CUGCUGGGCAGGUUGAGCUUUAAAUUCAGUGUGUGGCUGUAUAGCUAUCAGCGCACUGGAGCAUCAUGGAAAGAGAGUUUCUCUUAGCCAUGUUAGUCCUUGUUGCCACCGACAUUACGAUUGCGAUGUCUCCGGAUACGAGAGGUCAUAGGCCUUUGAAUAUCAAGGACUUCGUGAACACGUCUCAGAAAAUAUGGACGUACAAAACAACCAACAGGACCCAUGUCCAAUGCGAAGUCGAUCAACGCGAAGCGAUAAGUCGUUCGUCCAUUGUUUUUAAAAGAUCUUUCGUAAUCGGCAGAACUCGGUGUGACAUGCAGAUACGGGGGCUGUUUGAUACAUACCACAAACGGCGGAUGACUCUCUUUCAAAAGAGGAAUUUUCCAAAGCGUUGAAACAUUGCUCCACAUAGCUUCGGACCAUUCUUGUGCGGUUUUCAAGAUCGAGUCACUAACAGAUUGGGACAACGUCCGUUACGAUAUGCGAGUGAAAAAUUCUUUUGUACGUCGAAGGCCUCGCACUACCUGUCAAAAUCAUUAUUAUCGCGUCAUACGAGGCCAACCCUAUUCCACUAUUUACGAUGCCGACUGCCAACAGGCACUUAGACAAGGAAAUAGGCGCAUAGUACUUUUUUCUGAAGGUUAGAUUUGCUUGCUAACUUUAAGCCUAACCUCAAUGAUGCUCUUAGUGAGUUUGCGGGUAAAUACCAAUAAAUCAGAUGCAGUUAUGUUCUUAGUUG